GUUUUUUUUAAAGCACAACAAUCACUCAGUUUCAGUGUUUUCCUGACUCUUAAUAUAGAAUCUCACAUAAAGAGCAGACUGUUUUUGGUGAGUCAAUUUAGUUAUUAUUAUUUUUUUUUAAUUAUAGGUUAGUUCAAAAUAAUUUUUAAAUAAAAUAGUCACCUGAUAAUAAGGUUGUUGAAAAUGAUGAAGUUGACAUUGGUGAUGAGGCUGCUGAUGAUGACAGUGUUGAUGAAGGUGAUGUGAAUGUUAGUAAUGAUGAAGUAGGUGGAAUUAUUGCUGGUGUUGAUGUUGAAGAUGAUGAGGGUAGUGGUGAAGAUGGUGAGAAUUGAUGAGGUGAACUUGAAGAAGAGAAGUAUGAUGAAAAUGGUUGUGGUGGUGGUGAUGAUGAAAAUAGUGGGAAUGAUGAGUAUAACGUUGAGGAUGGUGAAGAGGAUGAGGAUUCUGUUGUUGAUAGAAUUGAAGAUGUUAUUGUUGAUGAUGAUGUUAACGUUGUUGGUGAAGAUGGUGGGGAUGAUGAUGAGCGCUGUGAAUUUGCUGAUGAUGGUAAUGAUGAGGACAAUGAUGUAGAGGUUACUGAUGAUGAGGGCUGUUUUAAUUGGGUUGAUGAUGAUAGUGGGACUGAUGAGGAUGAGACUGAUGAUGAUGAAGUUGGAGAAGUUGAUAGUAUUGAAGAUGGUGGUGUUGAUGAUAAAGGUGAUUGUAAUGUUGGUGAAGAAGGUCUAGAUGAUAAUGUUGCAGAAGAUGAUGAUGACAGUCGUGGAACUGAUGAAGUUGCUGCUGAGGAUGUUGAAGAUGAUGAGUUUUGUCUAGGUGAUAGUAUUAAAGAUGAUGAUGAUAGCUGUGUUGUUGAAGAAGGUAGGGAUGGUGAUGAAUGCUGUGAGAUUGCUGAUGAUGUUGAUGAGGAAAAUGAUGUAGAGGUUGACGAUGAUAGUGGGAUUGAUGAAGAUAGUGUAGAUGAUAGUAUUGAGGAUGUGGAUGAAGAUGAUGGUAAUGUUAAUGAUGAAGAUUGUGAAGAUGAUGAAAAUGGUGUAGAUGAUAAUGUUGAAGAAGAUGAUGGUGGUGAUGCUGACAAUAGUGGAACUGAUAAAGAUGGUGACGAGGAUGGUGAAGAUGGUGUAGAUGAUGAUGAUGGUGGGACUGAUAAAGAUGGUUCAGAUGAUGGUGUGGAUGGUGCAAAUGACAGUACUAAAGAUGUUGUUAAAGAUGUUAAUGCUGGUGGGGAUGGUGAUGAUUGCUGCAGGUUUGCUGAUGAUGGUAAGGAUGUGGAAGAUAUUGUAGAGCUUGUUAAUACUGAGGGAUGUGCUGGUGAGGUUGAUGGUGAUAAUGGGAUUGAUGAAGAUGGUGAAGGUAGUGUAGAUGAUUUUGAAGAUGUUGUUGAUAAUGGAGAUAGAGAAGAUGAUGAAGAUGGUGUAAAUAACAAUGUUGAUGAUGUCAAUGAUAAUGUUGACAAUAGUGGGACUGAUAAAGAUGUUGAAAAUGAUGAUGGAGUAAAUGAUAGUAUUGAAGAUGUUGAUGUUAAUGUUGGUGAUGAAGAUAGUGGGGAUGGUGAGUUAGGCUGGGAGCUUGUUGAUAAUGGUAGGGUUGUGAAAGAUAAUGUAGUUGUUCCUGAAAAUGAGGGCUGUGAUGGUGGGGUUGAUGAUGAUAGUGGGACUGAUGAGGAUGGUGUGGAUAAUAGUAUUGAAGAUGUUUUUGAUGAUGAUGAUGAUGAUGAUAAUAUUGGUGAUGUAGAUGAUGCAGAUGAUAGUGUUAAAGAUGAUGACAGUAGUGGGAUUGAUGGGGAUGGUGAAGAUGAUGAGGAUUGUUUUAUUGAUUGUAUUAAAGAUGUAGUUGAUGAUGGUUUUAAUUCUGGUGAUGAAGCUUGUGAGUUAGCUGAUGAUGAUAAGGAUGAUAAAAACGCUGCAGAAGUUGUUGAUAGUGAGGGCUGCGCUGGAAGGGUUGAUAAUGAUUGCAAUGAUAGUGGUGCUGAAGAUGAUGGUGAUGUUGUAGAUGAUUGUGUUGAAAGUAUUGUUGAUGCUGAUGUUAAUGUUGGUGAUGAAAAUGAUGGGGAUGGUGAUGAAGGCUGUGAGUUUGCUGAUGAUUUUAAGGAUGUGGAAGAUAUUGUAGAGCUUGUUAAUACUGAGGGAUGUGCUGGUGAGGUUGAUGGUGAUAGUAGGAUUGAUGAAGAUGGUGAAGGUAGUGUAGAUGAUUUUGAAGAUGUUGUUGAUAAUGGAGAUAGAGAAGAUGAUGAAGAUGGUGUAAAUAACAACGUUGAUGAUGGCAAUGAUAAUGUUGACAAUAGUGGGACUGAUGAAGAUGGUGUAGAUGAUGAUAGUGGGACUGAUGAAGAUGUCGCUAAAAAUGUUGUAGAUGAUGAAGAUAGUGUUGAAGAUGAAGUUCUCAAUAGUGGGACUGAUGAUGAUGGUAUUGAAGAUGGCAGAGAUGAUGAAGAU
ensembl:lncRNA